CUUGGUCAUUUAGAGGAAGUAAAAGUCGUAACAAGGUCUCCGUAGGUGAACCUGCGGAGGGAUCAUUACAAGAACGCCCGGGCUUCGGCCUGGUUAUUCAUAACCCUUUGUUGUCCGACUCUGUUGCCUCCGGGGCGACCCUGCCUUCGGGCGGGGGCUCCGGGUGGACACUUCAAACUCUUGCGUAACUUUGCAGUCUGAGUAAACUUAAUUAAUAAAUUAAAACUUUUAACAACGGAUCUCUUGGUUCUGGCAUCGAUGAAGAACGCAGCGAAAUGCGAUAAGUAAUGUGAAUUGCAGAAUUCAGUGAAUCAUCGAAUCUUUGAACGCACAUUGCGCCCCCUGGUAUUCCGGGGGGCAUGCCUGUUCGAGCGUCAUUUCACCACUCAAGCCUCGCUUGGUAUUGGGCAACGCGGUCCGCCGCGUGCCUCAAAUCGUCCGGCUGGGUCUUCUGUCCCCUAAGCGUUGUGGAAACUAUUCGCUAAAGGGUGUUCGGGAGGCUACGCCGUAAAACAACCCCAUUUCUAAGGUUGACCUCGGAUCAGGUAGGGAUACCCGCUGAACUUAAGCAUAUCAAUAAGCGGAGGAAAAGAAACCAACAGGGAUUGCUCUAGUAACGGCGAGUGAAGCAGCAAUAGCUCAAAUUUGAAAUCUGGCGUCUUCGACGUCCGAGUUGUAAUUUGUAGAGGAUGCUUCUGAGUGGCCACCGACCUAAGUUCCUUGGAACAGGACGCCAUAGAGGGUGAGAAUCCCGUAUGCGGUCGGAAAGGCGCUCUAUACGUAGCCCCUUCGACGAGUCGAGUUGUUUGGGAAU
rnacentral:sRNA from 1 species